GAUGAAGAACGUAGCGAAAUGCGAUAAGUAAUGUGAAUUGCAGAAUUCAGUGAAUCAUCGAAUCUUUGAACGCACCUUGCACUCCUUGGUAUUCCGAGGAGUAUGCCUGUUUGAGUGUCAUUAAAUCAUCAAUCUAACUUCAUUUUGUGAGGUUGGCUUGGAUUUGGAGACUGUUGGACCUCUCUCUCUCGAGGUUUGACUUCUCUUGAAUGCAUUAGUUGGAUUGAAUUGCAAUGCUACGUGUGGUGUGAUAAUAUCUUCACUGCAUAGUUGUAAUGGAAUCUGGCUUCUAACAGUCCUUCAUUGGACAAUCUUGACCAUCUGACCUCAAAUCAGGUAGGACUACCCGCUGAACUUAAGCAUAUCAAUAAGCGGAGGA
rnacentral:misc_RNA from 1 species